CUCCCCCCACGUAUCAAUUUUAAAAAAUGCAACAUUAGUAGGCGUUGCCUGGAGGACCGAGAGGGCGGAGCCGCGGCAGUGACGAAGACGAUGGCUAACUAGACGAAGCUAGCUCCCUUCACUCUGAGCAGUUGAUAGAAGUGGAGGACGUUUCUCCCCCUCCUUACAGACACUCAAGAAGAAAGGGACCAAGUCUAUUUGGAGGAGACAAGCGGACCUGAGUCUUAUUGUUUUGAGCUUGUGAGUUGCCUGAAACUCCCAGAACCGACCCAACAGAAUCACCUCUGAAAGGUCCUCUGGUGUCUGCAGCUGGUCUCUGGUGUCUGCAGCUGGUCUCCUCUGCUGGUGUCCUCAGGAUCAGGAACUUCCAGAAGAAUGUGCCUUUCAAUGACUCUUUCCCCCUUAUUUGUUAUAUUAAUUAAAUAAAUCUCAAUUUAUAUA